rnacentral:rRNA from 1 species
GAUAUUGCACAAUGGAGGGAACUCUGAUGCAGCGAUGCCGCGUGGAGGAAGAAGGUUUUCGGAUUGUAAACUCCUGUCUUCGGGGACGAUAAUGACGGUACCCGAAGAGGAAGCUCCGGCUAACUACGUGCCAGCAACCGCGGUAAUACGUAGGGAGCAAGCGUUGUCCGGAAUUACUGGGUGUAAAGGGAGCGUAGGCGGGAUAGCAAGUCAGGUGUGAAAACUAUGGGCUCAACCCAUAGAUUGCACUUGAAACUGCUGUUCUUGAGUGAAGUAGAGGUAAGCGGAAUUCCUAGUGUAGCGGUGAAAUGCGUAGAUAUUAGGAGGAACAUCAGUGGCGAAGGCGGCUUACUGGGCUUUUACUGACGCUGAGGCUCGAAAGCGUGGGGAGCAAACA